UCCGGUUUAACACCGGCAGUCUCCUUGGAGUGCCCAACUUAAUGGUGGCAACUAAGGACAAGGGUUGCGCUCGUUAAGGGACUUAACCCGACAUCUCACGAUACGAGCUGACGACAGCCAUGCAGCACCUAAACCACAGGCCCCCGAAGGGGAAAUCCUAUCUCUAGGACUGUCCUGUGUUGUCUAACCCAGGUAAGGUUCUUCGCGUUGCAUCGAAUUAAACCACAUGCUCCACCGCUUGUGCGGGCCCCCGUCAAUUCCUUUGAGUUUUAACCUUGCGGCCGUACUUCCCAGGCGGGGUACUUAAUGCGUUAGCGUCGACACUGCAGGGGUCAAUUCCCGCAACAUCUAGUACCCAUCGUUUACAGCGUGGACUAC
rnacentral:misc_RNA from 1 species